GCGGUAGAAUGCAAUGCAGAUGUUUUAUUUAUUUAUUUGUUUAUAAACAUCUGGUGCUCUUGCACUGGUGAAGAUUUAUGAAUUUCUCAUAAUUUUCAUUUAGCUGGAUGAUAUUAACUACAAUUGCGUGUUUACACGCACAAUAAUAUUUUAUUUAUGGGUGUAAAAAUCGUUAUCCCAGUAAAUAGCAGUGAUGCAAUUGAAAGUACUUAUCCAAAUGAACAAGCUAAUUAUUUGAUUGAGGAAUAUAUGUGGAGUCUUUUGAUUGGCAUGGAACAGUAUCUUUCACAACACUGCAGAUCCUUUUCAGAUGAAGUAAAAAGAAUAAGUUUAAAAUGGAACAAUGCUUUGCAAAUUGGAAAUCUACUGAGACUUGGUGCAAAAACAAAGUAUAUAUUUUUUUAUGGGAGGAGUCCUGUUGAGAAUUGAAGUACAGAAAAAUCAACCUGCUAUUUCAACUUUCAGUGAAUUAUUUCAUUUACAUAUGUAUGAAAUGUGUUUGGAAAUAGAAUUUUAUGAAGUAUAAAGACUUUGAAAAUUUUACUGUUGUUUUCAGGACUGUUGCCAUAGUAAAAAUGGCCAUUACCUAAAAAAAAUAAUAAUAAUAAAAAAAAAUUGGAUCUAACGAUUUUAAAUCUUUUCAGCAUUUUUGAGUUUCUAAAAAAUUAUUUUAUUUGUUUUUCAGACUUAAAAUCUAUAUAAAUGAGGAUAGUAUUAUAAUUUUAUUUACUGUUUCCAAAACUUUUUUAUUUAUUUUGUUUUAAUUUUUCCAAAUAUUGGAACAAUGAAAACCAAAAAAGUUUUCUUUAACAUUUUCUGCGACAUUAUCAGAAAAAGUGUACUAGUUUUCUUUAAAGCUUUGUAGAUUGUAUUUUGCAAUUCAUUAUACCUGUUUUUAAUAUAUAUCAGGAAAACUUAUAUAUGGAUGUUUAUAUUUGUAUUUUAUCUAAAGAUUUUUCUUCUCAUGUUGCAUAAAUACUUAAACAUGCUUGCCUUUAAUUACAGUUUUUUUUCCCUGACAUUGCAUAUGAAUUCAGUAAUGAAAGGAAGCAACAAACAUUUAAUUAAUUGAUGAAGGCAGAGGGCAUUUUACUCUGACAAUUGGCUUCUUAGCAAAUAUUUCCCAUGUUUUUUUUGUGGGACAUAUUUACAUUGGUAUGGUAUUACAUUAGACAAUUGUGUAUUUUAAGGAUUAAUUAAUGAUAAAUAAAUAUUAAUUUAAAAUAUUUAUUUAUCAAAAAAUAAUUUAAAAAUUUAAAUAUUUUUUGAUUAAAAUAGUUUUUUUUUGAUAAUUAUUACUUAUAGAUUUUGAAGAAUCAGAUAGAAUGGAUAUGUGAACAUUUUUGUGACCUUAAUAUUAUUUUGUGUAAUUCUAUUUGGAAACAUGAACCAUAAUUUAAUAAUUCUUAUUUUAGAAGAAUAACUGUUUUUCUAGGGAUGUUUUUUAUGUUGCUGUAUAUUAUAUUUAUUUAGAUGUCAGUAUAAUAUCAAAAUUUUAAAUUAUUUAUUUGGAAGUAAAAUUAUUUAAAUUCUGGAUUUAAAUGUUUAUUUAAUAUUUAAGAACAUUUGAAUUAGCUACAUUUUCAAAUUAGUUUAUUUGAAAAAUAUUUCUUUAUGUAACUUCAGUACUGCAUCCUGUAAUUCUUUUAUUUCACCAUUUCAGUUCUUUUAAAUUUUAGAUAAAAAGUCAUUUUUUUUAUUUUUAGGCUUUUUUUUUUUUCUUCUAAAUAUUAGAAAAUUUAACACAGUGAAAAUUCAGAUCAUGCAUUGUUUUUAAUGGAAUUUAAUUUGAUUAUAAUGUUCUAUGAGAUUAUUAAGAUUGACUUUUGGGAAUUCUUGAUUUAGGUGUUUUUAUUUAAUAUUAGUAUGUUUAAGGAACUAAAUUCCUUAUUCAUUUAAAUAUAUAAUUCAUUUAAAUACAUUUAUAUAUUAAUAUUCAUUAAAUAUAUAAAUGGUAAGAAUGCUUUCCCUUAAAUGCAAAUCUAAGAGUGAUUUCUAUCUACCAAAAACAUUAUUCCUUUCUCUCUAUAGAAUUUGUAUUAAUAAUUGUAUAUUCUCAUGAUUUAGAUGUAAGAAUUUUAAGUUUUAAUUCUAGUCAAUAUUGUUUUGUAUAUAUUAUGAAUUUUUUCCUAUGAUGCAAAUAAGCAAUAAUUC